GCCGGUUUAGCGCAGUGGUAGAGCGUCAGGCUUUGACACUGAAGGUCAGGGGUUCGACUCCCUUAGGGUG
rnacentral:tRNA from 1 species